CCUACGGGUGGCAGCAGUGAGGAAUAUUGGUCAAUGGACGAGAGUCUGAACCAGCCAAGUAGCGUGAAGGAUGACUGCCCUGUGGAUUGUAAACUUCUUUUAUAAAGGAAUAAAACGAGGCACGUGUGCCUUGUUGCAUGUACUUUAUGAAUAAGGAUCGGCUAACUCCGUGCCAGCAGCCGCGGUAAUACGGAGGAUGCGAGCGUUAUCCGGAUUUAUUGGGUUUAAAGGGAGCGUAGAUGGGUUGUUAAGUCAGUUGUGAAAGGUUGCGGCUCAACCGUAAAAUUGCAAUUGAUACUGGCAGUCUCGAGUACAGUUGAGGUAUGCGGAAUUCGUGGUGUAGCGGUGAAAUGCUUAGAUAUCACGAAGAACCCCGAUUGCGAAGGCAGCUUACUAAACUGUGACUGACAUUGAUGCUCGAAAGUGUGGGUAUCAAACAGGAUUAGAUACCCUUGUAGUC
rnacentral:rRNA from 1 species